rnacentral:rRNA from 1 species
GAUGAACGCUGGCGGCGUGCCUAAUACAUGCAAGUCGAGCGAACGGACGAGAAGCUUGCUUCUCUGAUGUUAGCGGCGGACGGGUGAGUAACACGUGGAUAACCUACCUAUAAGACUGGGAUAACUUCGGGAAACCGUUGCUAAUACCGGAUAAUAUUUUGAACCGCAUGGUUCAAAAGUGAAAGACGGUCUUGCUGUCACUUAUAGAUGGAUCCGCGCUGCAUUAGCUAGUUGGUAAGGUAACGGCUUACCAAGGCAACGAUGCAUAGCCGACCUGAGAGGGUGAUCGGCCACACUGGAACUGAGACACGGUCCAGACUCCUACGGGAGGCAGCAGUAGGGAAUCUUCCGCAAUGGGCGAAAGCCUGACGGAGCAACGCCGCGUGAGUGAUGAAGGUCUUCGGAUCGUAAAACUCUGUUAUUAGGGAAGAACAUAUGUGUAAGUAACUGUGCACAUCUUGACGGUACCUAAUCAGAAAGCCACGGCUAACUACGUG